GAUUGAACGCUGGCGGCCGGCCUACCACAUGCAAGUCGAGCGGACGACGGGAGCUUGCUCCUGGAUUCAGCGGCGGACGGGUGAGUAAUGCCUAGGAAUCUGCCUGGUAGUGGGGGAUAACGUCCGGAAACGGGCGCUAAUACCGCAUACGUCCUGAGGGAGAAAGUGGGGGAUCUUCGGACCUCACGCUAUCAGAUGAGCCUAGGUCGGAUUAGCUAGUUGGUGGGGUAAAGGCCUACCAAGGCGACGAUCCGUAACUGGUCUGAGAGGAUGAUCAGUCACACUGGAACUGAGACACGGUCCAGACUCCUACGGGAGGCAGCAGUGGGGAAUAUUGGACAAUGGGCGAAAGCCUGAUCCAGCCAUGCCGCGUGUGUGAAGAAGGUCCUCGGAUUGUAAAGCACUUUAAGUUGGGAGGAAGGGCAGUAAGUUAAUACCUUGCUGUUUUGACGUUACCAACAGAAUAAGCACCGGCUAACUUCGUG
rnacentral:rRNA from 1 species